CCUACGGGAGGCAGCAGUGGGGAAUAUUGGGCAAUGGACGCAAGUCUGACCCAGCAACGCCGCGUGAAGGAAGAAGGCUUUCGGGUUGUAAACUUCUUUUAAGGGGGAAGAGCAGAAGACGGUACCCCUUGAAUAAGCCACGGCUAACUACGUGCCAGCAGCCGCGGUAAUACGUAGGUGGCAAGCGUUGUCCGGAUUUACUGGGUGGAAAGGGCGUGCAGCCGGAGAGACAAGUCAGAUGUGAAAUCCACGGGCUCAACCCGUGAACUGCAUUUGAAACUGUUUCCCUUGAGUGUCGGAGAGGUAAUCGGAAUUCCUUGUGUAGCGGUGAAAUGCUUAGAUAUAAGGAAGAACACCAGUGGCGAAGGCGGAUUACUGGACGAUAACUGACGGUGAGGCGCGAAAGCGUGGGGAGCAAACAGGAUUAGAUACCCCAGUAGUC
rnacentral:rRNA from 1 species